AACGAACGCUGGCGGCAUGCUUUACACAUGCAAGUCGAACGGUAACAGGGAGCUUGCUCCGCUGACGAGUGGCGAACGGGUGAGUAAUGCGUCGGAACGUGCCGAGUAGUGGGGGAUAACGCAUCGAAAGGUGUGCUAAUACCGCAUACGUACUGAGGUAGAAAGUGGGGGACCUUCGGGCCUCACGCUAUUCGAGCGGCCGACGUCUGAUUAGCUAGUUGGUGAGGUAAAGGCUCACCAAGGCGACGAUCAGUAGCGGGUCUGAGAGGAUGAUCCGCCACACUGGGACUGAGACACGGCCCAGAGUCCUACGGGAGGCAGCAGUGGGGAAUUUUGGGCAAUGGGCGCAAGCCUGAUCCAGCCAUGCCGCGUGUCUGAAGAAGGCCUUCGGGUUGUAAAGGACUUUUGUCCGGGAGCAAAUGCCUGGUGUUAAUAGCAUCGGGAGCUGAGAGUACCGGAAGAAUAAGCACCGGCUAACUACGUGCCAGCAGCCGCAGUAACAC
rnacentral:rRNA from 1 species